rnacentral:rRNA from 1 species
UUGCUAAGAGAGGAAGCCUAUGUCCUAUCAGCUUGUUGGUAAGGUAAUGGCUUACCAAGGCUAUGACGGGUAUCCGGCCUGAGAGGGUGAACGGACACACUGGAACUGAGACACGGUCCAGACUCCUACGGGAGGCAGCAGUAGGGAAUAUUGCUCAAUGGGGGAAACCCUGAAGCAGCAACGCCGCGUGGAGGAUGAAGGUUUUAGGAUUGUAAACUCCUUUUGUUAGAGAAGAUAAUGACGGUAUCUAACGAAUAAGCACCGGCUAACUCCGUGCCAGCAGCCGCGGUAAUACGGAGGGUGCAAGCGUUACUCGGAAUCACUGGGCGUAAAGAGCGCGUAGGCGGGAUAGUCAGUCAGGUGUGAAAUCCUAUGGCUUAACCAUAGAACUGCAUUUGAAACUACUAUUCUAGAGUGUGGGAGAGGUAGGUGGAAUUCUUGGUGUAGGGGUAAAAUCCGUAGAGAUCAAGAGGAAUACUCAUGGAUGCCCCC